rnacentral:rRNA from 1 species
GACGAACGCUGGCGGCGUGCCUAAUACAUGCAAGUAGAACGCUGACGGAGGAGCUUGCUUCUCUGGAUGAGUUGCGAACGGGUGAGUAACGCGUAGGUAACCUGCCUGGUAGCGGGGGACAACUAUUGGAAACGAUAGCUAAUACCGCAUAAGAGUAGAUGUUGCAUGACAUUUGCUUAAAAGGUGCAAUUGCAUCACUACCAGAUGGACCUGCGUUGUAUUAGCUAGUUGGUGGGGUAACGGCUCACCAAGGCAACGAUACAUAACCGACCCGAGAGGGGGAUCGGCCCCACUUGGCAUGAGACCCGGCCCAGUCUCCCUCGGGAGGCAGCAGUUGGGAAUCUUCGGCAAUGGCCGGAAGUCUGACCGAACCACGCCGGGGGAGGGAAGAAGGGUUUCGGAUCGUUAAGCUCCGUUGUAAGGGGAGAACGAGUGUGAGAGUGGAAAGUUCACACUGUGACGGUAACUUACCAGAAAGGGACGGCUAACUACGUG